UACAUAGGUGGCAAGCGUUGUCCGGAAUUAUUGGGCGUAAAGCGCGCGCAGGCGGUCCCUUAAGUCUGAUGUGAAAGCCCACGGCUCAACCGUGGAGGGUCAUUGGAAACUGGGGGACUUGAGUGCAGAAGAGGAAAGUGGAAUUCCAUGUGUAGCGGUGAAAUGCGUAGAGAUGUGGAGGAACACCAGUGGCGAAGGCGACUUUCUGGUCUGUAACUGACGCUGAGGCGCGAAAGCGUGGGGAGCAAACAGG
rnacentral:rRNA from 1 species